CUAGUGUAUAGGUCGAUUGUGCGGAUUCCGGUAAAGUAAAAUUUGGCAAAAAUGGCUCCCGCUCCAGUUGCAGUUUCUCCUUUGAUCAAGUUUGCAAGGUACUCAGCCUUGUUUGUUGGCAUUGCCUAUGGAUCAAGGCAUAA